rnacentral:tRNA from 1 species
UAUGGCAGAUAAAGUGCAAUGGAUUUAAGAUCCUCUUAUAAAGAAAUUAAUUCUUUUAUUAAAA